ensembl:misc_RNA Metazoa_SRP Metazoan signal recognition particle RNA
GCUGGGUGUGGUGGCACACGCCUGUAAUCCCAGCUACUCGGGAGGCUGAGGCAGGAGAAUCGCUUGAACCCGGGAGAUGGAGGUUGCGGUGAGCCAAGAUUGUGCCACUGCACUCCAGCCUGGGUGACAGAGCGAGACUCCGUCUCAA